rnacentral:rRNA from 1 species
AGUCUUAACUGGGCGUUAAGUUGCAGGGUAUAGACCCGAAACCCGGUGAUCUAGCCAUGGGCAGGUUGAAGGUUGGGUAACACUAACUGGAGGACCGAACCGACUAAUGUUGAAAAAUUAGCGGAUGACUUGUGGCUGGGGGUGAAAGGCCAAUCAAACCGGGAGAUAGCUGGUUCUCCCCGAAAGCUAUUUAGGUAGCGCCUCGUGAAUUCAUCUCCGGGGGUAGAGCACUGUUUCGGCAAGGGGGUCAUCCCGACUUACCAACCCGAUGCAAACUGCGAAUACCGGAGAAUGUUAUCACGGGAGACACACGGCGGGUGCUAACGUCCGUCGUGAAGAGGGAAACAACCCAGACCGCCAGCUAAGGUCCCAAAGUCAUGGUUAAGUGGGAAACGAUGUGGGAAGGCCCAGACAGCCAGGAUGUUGGCUUAGAAGCAGCCAUCAUUUAAAGAAAGCGUAAUAGCUCACUGGUCGAGUCGGCCUGCGCGGAAGAUGUAACGGGGCUAAACCAUGCAC